rnacentral:rRNA from 1 species
UACGUAGGUGGCGAGCGUUGUCCGGAUUUACUGGGCGUAAAGAGCGCGCAGGCGGUCGUUCAAGUCGCGUGUGAAAGCCCCCGGCUCAACUGGGGAGGGUCACGCGAUACUGAUCGACUCGAAGGCAGGAGAGGGAAGUGGAAUUCCCGGUGUAGUGGUGAAAUGCGUAGAUAUCGGGAGGAACACCAGUGGCGAAGGCGACUACCUGGCCUGUUCUUGACGCUGAGGCGCGAAAGCUAGGGGAGCAAACAGG